AUUUAAGUAGUUUAAAGUGUAAAUAAAAUAUUAAUUUGUGGGAUUAAAGAUAUAAAAAAAAUUUAUCUUAAAUU
rnacentral:tRNA from 1 species